GGAUGCGAUCAUACCAGCACUAAAGCACCGGAUCCCAUCAGAAUUCCGAAAUUAAGCGUGCUUGGGCGAGAGUAGUACUAGGAUGGGUGACCUCCUGGGAAGUCCUCGUGUUGCAUUCC
rnacentral:rRNA from 16 species